AUCCUGGCUCAGGACGAACGCUGGCGGCGCGCCUAACACAUGCAAGUCGAACGAGCGAGAGAGAGCUUGCUUUCUCGAGCGAGUGGCGAACGGGUGAGUAACGCGUGAGGAACCUGCCUCAAAGAGGGGGACAACAGUUGGAAACGACUGCUAAUACCGCAUAAGCCCACGGGUCGGCAUCGACCAGAGGGAAAAGGAGCAAUCCGCUUUGAGAUGGCCUCGCGUCCGAUUAGCUAGUUGGUGAGGUAACGGCCCACCAAGGCGACGAUCGGUAGCCGGACUGAGAGGUUGAACGGCCACAUUGGGACUGAGACACGGCCCAGACUCCUACGGGAGGCAGCAGUGGGGAAUAUUGCACAAUGGGGGAAACCCUGAUGCAGCGACGCCGCGUGGAGGAAGAAGGUCUUCGGAUUGUAAACUCCUGUUGUUGAGGAAGAUAAUGACGGUACUCAACAAGGAAGUGACGGCUAACUACGUGCCAGCAGCCGCGGUAAAACGUAGGUCACAAGCGUUGUCCGGAAUUACUGGGUGUAAAGGGAGCGCAGGCGGGAAGACAAGUUGGAAGUGAAAUCUAUGGGCUCAACCCAUAAACUGCUUUCAAAACUGUUUUUCUUGAGUAGUGCAGAGGUAGGCGGAAUUCCCGGUGUAGCGGUGGAAUGCGUAGAUAUCGGGAGGAACACCAGUGGCGAAGGCGGCCUACUGGGCACCAACUGACGCUGAGGCUCGAAAGUGUGGGUAGCAAACAGGAUUAGAUACCCUGGUAGUCCACACCGUAAACGAUGAUUACUAGGUGUUGGAGGAUUGACCCCUUCAGUGCCGCAGUUAACACAAUAAGUAAUCCACCUGGGGAGUACGACCGCAAGGUUGAAACUCAAAGGAAUUGACGGGGGCC
rnacentral:rRNA from 1 species